rnacentral:lncRNA from 1 species
UGUUAGUUUUAUGAUUUGUUCUAUGAUUUUAUGAAAUUAGUAUUUUAUUUUGUAUUUUUUGUAUACGUAAAAAUUGUUGUUGGGUAGCUUAAUAUGUGCAUGAGCUUUUGCUUCGGCCUGUGCCUUUUCAGUCUCAAAAGUGCAGGCUUUUUUUGGGGUCCUUAACUACCAUAGUGCCUUUUUUUAUUUAAAUCCUUUUAUUUUCGUAGUGAGUAACCCGGGUCAUCAGGGCUGGUCUCUGUAAUUUAAAGACUCUCUCUGUUUCUGCAGGAGGAUCUCUGUCCUGAAGCGGCGAGAGGACAAUCGGAUGUCUCCGAGGACAGUUUUCCUGUGGUGCUUGGGGACUUCAACCAGGCACACCUUAGCCGGGCUCUCCCCAAAUACAGACAGCAAGUCACAUGCGCUACUAGGGGUGGGAACACUCUUGACCACUGCUAUUGCACUACUCGGCAGGCAUAUCAUUCUGUCCCCCGUGCUGCGCUGGGCAAAGGAGAUCACCAUCUCAUCCAUCUGAUCCCUCGCUACAGGCAGAGAUUAAAAUUAUCAAAACCUGUAGUGCGGAGCUUCAGACUGUGGUCCAGUGAGGCAAAGGAGAGACUUUGUGCCUGGCUGGAGAAUGCAGGCUGUGACCAGGACUUCGUUGAGUGGGCGGGGCCUGAGGCUGGAAACAGCCUGGAUGAAUACACGGACACUGUGACAUCAUGCAUCAGCCUCGGUGAGGAGGUGUGUGUUCCUCUGCGCUCCAGGAAGAUCUACAACAACGACAAGCCCUGGUUUUCAGCCCAUCUCAGGAGGUUCAGGUCCGAGAAGGAGGUGGCAAGGCGCAGUGGAGACAUGGCUCUGUUCAGGAAGGCCAAGUACAGGUUUGCCAAAACGGUGAGGGAGGCGAAACAUUGCUUCUCAGAGAAACUAAAGCAGCAGCUCUCUGUAGAGACUGAAUAACCGAUGGUUCCUUGUCUUCUGGUUUUCUGACUUGUGUUCGAACUGUUUUAUCUCCGGUUUGUAAAUGUUUUAGGAUCAUUUAUAUUUCAGUGUGGUAUUUAAAGUUCUGAAGUUUGUGCUUAGGCUGACAGUUUGUCGCUUGUUUUUGUUCACAUAGAGAAAAAGGUUAUAUUUGUAUUUUUCACCAAGCAGACUCAAACCCCAACAGCAGAGCAUUGUGAUAAUCUGUAAUCUGUUUUUAAAUCUCUUAUUUAGAAUCAGUUUACUGAUCCAAAUUAACCCUAAAACCUAUUUAUUCAAAUCAACGAUCAGAAAAUCCAACCUAAAGGGAAAAGAAAUCUGAACUUUCAUGGGACCGUAUUUAUUGAACAGUCAGAUAAUAUGUCACACCCACUGGACUGAACACGUGAACUUGGUUUUGUCAUUAAAUUAUAUCGUAGAAAAAAAAUUGGUCUGAGAAGUGUUUUUUUUUUUUUUUUUAAACUUUAUUUUUUCAAGGUUUUUUUUGCACAAAACAUGGGUAAACAACAGCAAAAACAGAAAAAGGAAAAAACAGAAAAUAAACAUGCACACAUAUACCAGUGAACCUGAGCACAUAUGGGCCCGUAUUCGCUUUCGCCCACAUGUCCAAAUAAUCGUAGACAGAUCAAUAGAUACAUAAUUGCACUUACACACAUGCGCACAUUCAUAAGAACAAUACAUGAAAGAAAACGUGGGGUUGCGAGUGAGUCGCCACUGAUUACAGCAUAAUGGUCAUUGUUUUCCUAAACCAGAAUAUACUAAGUCUUAUGGAAGGCUAUCACUUUUUCUUGUGAUGUAGGUAUUCCAUUUUUCCCAGAGGGCAUUACCUUUGUCCCUUUGUAAUCUAAGACUAAAGGUUAGCAGUUCCAUAGUUUGAAUGUCUUUAAUUAUGGCUUUCCACUGAUUAACCGUGGGAGGUUCCGUGUUGAGCCAUCUUCUUCUUAUGGCUUUUUUGCUCGCUGCCAUAAAAUUUUCUCUCUUUUCUUUCUUUGGUAGUUCAGUGUCUUUAUUACCCAGGUAGAAUGAUAAGCAAGUAAAAUCAAAAUUAUACUGCAAAACUUCUCUAGUUAUGUUUUGAACUUGUUCCCAGAAGGGUUUAAGAGUGGGACAGCUCCAGAAUAUGGGUGUAUGAUCUGCCAUACCAUGUCCACAUCCUCUCCAGCAUGUAGGUUGUGGUCCUGUCUGUUUACACUUUUGCUUUGGUGUUAUAAAGAAUCGAAUGCAAUUUUUCCAGGAGAAAUCUCUCCACAGUUGUGAGGACGUAGUGGUGAUUUGUGUGUCAAUUAUAUUUGUCCAGUCUUCUGAGGUAAUUCCAGUUUCCAAUUCUUUUUCCCAUUUUUCUUAAUAUAGUUUGUUGAGUGGCCUCUUAGAUCAGAUGUCUAUAUAGUUCACACACACCACACACACACACACACACACACACACACACACACACAAAACCACAAAUGCUGUUGUUUGUUGUAUGUCUUGCACUGUCACACUGCACAAAUAAAAAAAAAUAAUCUCUUGUUUUCCCUCUGUCAAGCAGGAGGUUACCAGGGGGCGGUCCGAUCGUUUAGUGAGCUUGGCAGCACCUGGGCCUGGUGUCUCCCAAUCUAUAAAUACCCCGCCUUCUCCACCGGUUCUCUCUCUCCUUCACUCCGG